CAAAGAAAUACCUAUCUGUAUCAACCUAUAGUCAUCGAUCUAUUUCGAUCUUUGUGCGCGCGGGCAUCAGUGAACGGCGCUUCGGCGGCACAGAGCGAGCCGAAGUUUUCGCCGAGCUGUAUACAGCAAGAGGUGCACAAUAUGCAUCCCACGGCACAAAAGGGGCAGAGCUGUUUGCGAACGGAAGAGGAGUUUCGAUAUUCAAAGUACACACUUCACGAUCGCACAGGCUUUCAACGUCGAACUUGGAAGUGGACUCGCGAAAGAUACGGUGUAUGUCCAUGUAUCGGCGUCUCUAUUUGUAUUCGCAUAUUCGUAUAUACACGUCAGUGUACAGCCGAGAAAGUUUGUUUUGGAGGAGCUACAGCAAUCAGGCUCGCCGUAAAAGCGAAUGCAUUGGCUGCAUCCUCGACAAAAAAUCAGACAAUUUCUUGCCAGAGACGACUGUGGAGAAGCAGGAGCCGCCCUAUCGUACAGGCGUCUUGUUUCGGGUCGUCGUCCUUGUCGAAAUCUACAAAGAGACUUUCAAGAAUAGCUUUCCUGUCGUCCUCUUCCGUUUCCGCCCACUCCUCUUUUCUGUCCUCUGUCGGAUUCUCUUCUCUUUCCUUACUCCCUUCUGGUUCCCCUGUCGCCCUCUCGUCCGAAUCUGUUUGGUCCCGUUCCCUGUCCUCUCUUUUGUCUCUCCCGUCUCGGCUUUGUUCGGAGAGAAAGGGUUCCUUUGCUACUCCCGUCUGUCCAAAAGUUUCGUCGGUGUCAACCGAAAGAGAGAGGCUGUGCAAAUCGCGGGGAUUCUUAUCUGAUGCGCCCUCCUCUCUGCGUUCUCGCGUCUCUCUUUCCCUCCCGUCGUCUCCCCUUUGCACUUCGCCUCCCUCUACGCACGGCACGUCUCCUGCUUCAUCAUCCGAAUCAACAACAACGGUCACCCGCCUUCCACUCCUUUCUCCCCUAUCGUCUCCUGCCCCGAGUUCUGCCUGGUCCUCUUGUCGGGAUCUGUUUUCGUUCCUGUUCCUGCUGUUUUCGUCCAGGCCGCAGGACGACAGCUCCGGGCUCCGGGAAAUCUCUUGCGCCUGUCUAUGCUUGUGGAAAAAGUGGGAAAACGACUUACGAGCACCAUCUUCUCGGGCAAUUCGAAGAAGCGAACAGCACACAGGCACAAUAGAAAAAACAGGUGUUGCUUCCAUCCAGAGAAAGAGACUGACCCUCAGCUACCUCCAACCCGUCGACCUCGACCUGCCUACUCACCGUAUCUACAGAUGCCUACCUAUAUCACUCAAGUCCUUACAUACAAACAUACAUAUACACAUCCACGCUCCUUCCUCUCUCUCUCCAAAUAUCUAGAUACCUGUCGUAAGGGAACACAAAUAUCGACACUUCAAUAUACAUUUAUAUAUAUUUACAUAUAUGUACAUAUGUAAGUAUGUAUGUAUACCCCUCGAGGAGUCAAGAAACGUUUUCAAACGAGCGGGAAGGACAGGUGUCCAGGACGACUUCGAUUUUCUCACCAUCGGACAUCCAAAGUUCUCGACGUUUCUUUCGGAUAACGACAGAGACCCGACUCGCUGCAUUUUCUGGACAGUCUUCUUCCUUUCUCGCCUUCGUCUGUUCCGUUGCGAGACGGUUGGGGUUUUCGUCCACCGCAACCGAAUCGGAGGCGUUUGCUCGUUGUCCCUCCUUGCCCGAGAGGGGACGAGUGCCGGUAGGCUCACGGGCCCCCUGGCGACUUGUUCCCGCAGGAAGUGAAGCCCCGACCUCCUCUUUGAAAUACAGUCGAUGCUGCAGGCCGUCUAAAGCGUCAACUGCUCGCGCUCUCCAGUAGAAUAAAUGAACGCCUCCUGUUUCGCGAGGGGUAUGCGCGGCUGAAGCGGGGAGCAGACUGGACAUUCGCUCAGCGCCGCACGAGAUGUCGCCGCUUUCCUCCGGAGGAGUGUCUAGGAGGCGAGAGGGGAGGGAGAAUACACAGACACCAGAAACACACGACCGUUCCAGGAAAGAGGAGAGAGGAGAGGCAAGAGAACCCAGAAAGCAACUACAGGGGAAAUAAUGGCUAGGUCCUGGAACGGGAGAUUAGAGAGCGUCGCACAGUGCCUACAUGUAUGGAAACAUACAUGGGGGGAAGUUUGCAGUCAAAUCUACGCGUAUGUAAGGGCUUACAUGGGCGUGUAUAGGCGCGUCUGGUUUAAAACGUAUACGUGUACAUAAGAUAUAGAAGUCCAUGGCGUCCGUCUUCCCCACUCAGACCUCAAAGGAUUCGCAGACGCCUCUGCGGCUCUGUGUUUUCUUCCGAUGUUUAUCGUUUACGAAUGGCGACACGAAGGUGCGCGAGAGUGUGUUGUGUGGUUCGCACGCGUAGCAGAUGGCAAAGUCUAUCUACUUUCUCUGCGUCAGUUCAAACUGAAAUCCCUCCCCUUCCAGUUCUCCCGCGAAUCGUAAUCCCCCCCAGACCUACGAAAAUCGCGUUCAUUUUGGCGGGCGGGUGACUUCGGUGUUGCCUCUGAUGUCGACGAUUCUCCACAUGACCGGCGUCAUGUCGCAGCGACGCUGCAUUCCCUGUAUGAACGAUUAUCUCGGCGAUGCCGGAGUUCGUGGCAUCUGGGGGAGAAUCGAGUGAAGCUUCUGAGGUCUUGGAAGUUUCCUGCUCGGGUUCCGCCGACGACUCUGACGAGACACUCCGAGCGAUGUGAUGAAAUUCCGGCUCAGUCACCUCGAGAAAUCCGCCAUCUCUCGGAGCCGGUCUGGUCUCUCCUCUCUCAAGACUCCCCAGACUGACCCUCGCCGCGCUCAGGUCUCGUGAGGCGGCUGUCGCCUCUUCUCCUGCGAAGCGAAUCGGAACAGCCUGGCUGGCAGCCGCUUCGCCACGGGCGAGUACCUCUCCGGGAGUCCUAGAGAGCUUCAGAGGAGUCGUGACCCUCUUCGGGUCGUGGCGUCGCUUCUCUGCGCUGUCUUGGGAGUUUUGCCUCUCUAGGAGAGGCGGAAGGCGCGCGUCAGAGCCGUCCAGCUGAUCCUCUUUUGGAUCUUCUCCGUUCCAUUCAAAGGCUGCGCUGCUUCCACUGGCGACGAACUCUCCCGCGCCGGCGUCUUCUUUUGCGGCUGCCAAAGCGUCGGCUUGGCCAGCUUCAACGGCGCUGCGUUUGCCGAGAACAUGAUCCUGCCCAAUCGACUUAUUCUCGUCUUGCCGAAUGGGUUCCGCGGUUUCGAGGGGCUCUCGGCGCUCCAAGGGGGGCUGCGCGUCCUCGGCCGAUCCUGUGUCGACUUUGCAAUCUUUUAAAGAGUUGGCCGACCCGAGAAGGCCCGAUUUCAGAACAGGCAGAACAAGGUGAAGGCGGUGGCUUUCGCAAAAGAACUGAGCGCGACCCUGGGCGAAGUCGACUGCAUGAGGCAGAGGCACGGUAUGCUGGAGCGAGAGAACGCAAAACAGGGGGAAGGGAUCACACGGAUGACGCGCGCGCGGUGCGCCGAGCAGGCGCGUCCUGGAUUCAAGGACGGCAAAGUAGGCGACAAAGCUUUGUGAAGCAAGGAGAGAUGUGAGAAUGCGAGAUGUGAGAAUGCCGACACAAGCACCGUUACAAAAAAACGUAUGACCUCGAAAGCACAAAGCGCUCUUCCCUGUUCCAGGGUAGAUGUACUAAAAAGGUGCCGUAACCCUCGAGUCGUUCCUCCGUAGAGUGCCAGGAAGCAGCCUUGCCAGAGAUAGUCAGAGACACACGGGAAGCGAGUCUCGCGGCGUGGCGGAAAACGGUUAGAAUCCAACACUACUUCGCAAACGUUCCCCUCUUAAAAGGAACAGAGAGAGUGAAGGCGCACGUAAGGGGCGACCAAAACAUCUGAAGCGAAAAACUUGGAGCACGAGAAACUCGGGAAAACCAGCUUCUGGAGGGGAAAUGCAGUGGCUGGGGAGUUCGGGGGAACGAGAACGCGAGAGAUCAGCAAAGCCUCAAUGAUGGAAGUGUAAACAAACUCGAAAAGGUGUCGAGAGAAAACCGCAAGACUCUAGCGAACUAGGAACGACGCCAGGUCUUACGGGGGCAUAGGGAUCGCCUUUCCGAGCAAUGGUUAGCACCUUGUUAUUCUCGGAAAUAGCGACGUCGAUGUCCGUACUCGAAAGCUGAGGCACAAGGAAGAAGAAACAGACGAAACGGACACACACACGCACACACACGUUUUGCUCCUUGUCGCCUAUACACUUCCGCUACGAAAGUCCUGGCCUUCCCACCAAAGCACGAUCUGUGCCUGACCAUGCGCCUUCUUCAACAGUACGGCUACUCAGAAACAGGUGUACGCACACGCAUACAGGUAUCCAUAAAGAAAUAUACUAAAACGUAAAUAUUCAUUUACAAGUACGUGAGCACUAUAUAUAUAUAUAUAUAUAUAUAUAUGGAUCUUUGUGGAUGUGCAUCGUCACCGCUGAUGCUGUAUUUGCCUGCACUUGCUUCUCUGAUUUAAGUGGAUUCACAGCUCUCUGUUAUCUGGUUCCGCAUGUAAGCGAGAAGACGUUUCCGCGUUUCUGGUUCUCUUUGUGUAAGCAAGCUGAGAAUGGCCAGAGUCUCGUCUCCUCUCCCAGCUCCUCUCUUGGCACCUCCCGACUUUCGCGAACACUUCUUUCGAGUCUGGCGCUGCUCCAGUGCUUUCGAUCUUUACUGCCUUUGUGUAUCGAUCCAAGUUCUAUUUUGCCUUAGCCGAGCACAACGAGCAGGGAGUUGAGCAAAACAGAGCGCAGACCUAACGCUAUUUCCCCGCUGUUCGGCGAGAACUGCGCUCACUACUGAAGCUCCGAGGUGAAUUUCGACGCGUAGGUUCUCAGGGACGGGCUUUUCCAUAGGCAGCUGGCAAGCGACACAGCACAGCAGGAGGCAUCGCGUAAGACCACUUUUUGCGGUGAACACACCAGCCUUGAGAAGAGAAAGGAACGCAUGGACGCCGCUCCAAAUCUAUCCCUCACUGAAAAUUGGAACACCUUCAAACCCACGUGUGUUCAAAAUCCUCGUCUUCCGUACACACAAACGUAGAGAGGAGCUGCAAAAUCGGGCGCUGCGUCUGCCCUUGCUUCCUGGGGGGAGGGGGUGGCUUAGAAACAGGCCUAUCUGCCAAGACAGCUAAAACUCGACACACGUUUUAAAGUCCGAGACGCGGGAGUCCGAACCGGAGAGAGAGCCCACCCUAGUGCACAUGCUAAUGGGGAGAGGGGAGAGACGAAAAUACCGUCAUUAGGCGGAAGAGGAGAGAAGUAUGUUCGACGCGUACCGUCGAGUGGUGUCCGAAGAGUUCCGAUAAGUCGACUUUUCCUUGGUGAAUAAUUCGCCACUCGCCCGGGCUCAACUCUGUUUUCUGCCGGUCCACUGUGGCGCCGUGAAGGAAGUCGUCGUUUUCAUCGCUGCCGCCUUCCUCGCGUUCUCCGUCAUCCGGCGAGCCGAGCUUCGAAGCUGGAGCCGCUGCGAAACCAUCUGACGCCCCCUUCUCGUUCCGCAACCCUUGGGUGAUUCGGCUCUUCGCUUUCGCCUUUUUCGCCAUCUUCUUCAAGUCUUUCCGUGUUAUGACUGAAUGCACAAGGAGCACAAAUGUGACCUUCGGCUGUUACAAGGGAAGGAGGCCGGAAGGCAGGCAAAACGAGACAUGGCGGGCUUUCUUAGUCAUCAGCCCGAUACAGGCAAGGCUGCCGUCGUGAAACACGACUCAUUCUUGUAGAAAGCACACCGUCUCUCUCGUCGACUGACCUUCUUCAACUGCAUCGUCGGCACUCUGUUUUUUCAGCCGCCUGUCUUCCAGCUCUUUCUUUCGCUGCUCCCAGAACUUGCGCUUGUCCUUGAUGAUGUCCUCUCGGAUUGACAUCAACCCCGGCAAGUCGCCCUUGCAUUUCGCCUUCUGGAGGACUUGAAAGUCUGGGGGUGAAGUAAGAAAGAACACACGAAAACGUGCAGCUAUGAGACAAAAGGACACCCAGAAGGCGGUCAACUGGGUCCAAACAACGAGAGCUGAUGCGGGAGUUCGGCGUGGCAACGGAGCGGACUUAGGACCAUAUCCGAAUUGAAAAGAGCACGGCAGGCCCUCUGGAGCCUUUAUCACGAACUGGGGAGGAUUUCGUGCAUGCCUGCGCACCAUGAACCUGUAAAAUACAAGAGAUACUGUAUCACAUAGCUGCAAGUGCGAAGCCAGGUCAGAUCCUUAAAUCGGCUGAUGACUAGUGUCCUAACAUCUCACACGCGCAUGCAGUGGAGAUUUUCAGAGUCGUGAAAUCGUGAAGCACGACACCCUGUCGAAGAUGCCACUGCCUUCUUAUGUCCUGUCCACAAAGCACGGUUAGCUUCAGAUGCUGACAGCGCACACUCUCGCUGCUGAUCCUUUUUUACCGGGGUGAAUCCGCUCGCCACCUUUGAGGUAGCAGGAGUUGACCUUGUCCGUGCAACUCUCAAUCAGAACCCGCAGAAGAGUCGGCUGCCCUGAGAGAUUCCGUUCGAGACACCACAACGGUCCCUUCCGUGCCACGGAUGCGCAGAUCGAAGCGUAGAGACAGGGGAACGAAAAACAGAGAGUCGCUGCGGUGGUCCUUUUGCCAGACCGGCAGAGCUGUCCCUCGCGGUACAGUGUGAACGGCUCGUGGCGUGCCGGAAAAAGAAAUGCGCAAUGUGAACCGUGGAGCAACUGAAGCUCUCUGACCUGGAGGAAAAGGUGUCUUGUGUGAGGGCGCGGCGAAGCGACCCCGUUGUGCUUUUUUCCUGUUCAUGUUCGGUGACUUACUAUGGCAUUGUCCGAAGGUAUUGGUGCUGACGCACACGUCAAAUGUGAGACACGCAGCGCCAUCUGCCACAGACAGGAUUCCGCACACGCCCCAGCAGAUCUGUGUGUUGAGAGUGGCAUCGGGUAUAGGGCUGCGCCUGUGCACUCCCUAACCGAGCAUUCACCCGAUGUUGAAUGUCUGCGCACGCGUCAAGCGACACAAAUUUCCUUUUUAACAAGGGCCGUGCGCGAGACGCACGUUCGCGCCUUGCACCUGGCACUGGUUUGUUGUGUCUGUGUUGAC
rnacentral:lncRNA from 1 species